rfam:Plasmodiophora brassicae isolate e3 genome assembly, contig: scaffold_51
GCCACAAUGGCGCAGUGGCAGCGCACCCGCUUUGUAAGCGGUAGGCCGCGUGUUCAAUCCACGCUUGUGGUA